rnacentral:rRNA from 1 species
GACGAACGCUGGCGGCGCGCCUAACACAUGCAAGUCGAACGGAGUCAAGAGGAGCUUGCUUUUCUUGACUUAGUGGCGAACGGGUGAGUAACGCGUGAGUAACCUGCCCUGGAGUGGGGGACAACAGUUGGAAACGACUGCUAAUACCGCAUAAGCCCACGGAUCUGCAUGGAUCUGCGGGAAAAGGAUUUAUUCGCUUUAGGAUGGACUCGCGUCCAAUUAGCUAGUUGGUGAGGUAACGGCCCACCAAGGCGACGAUUGGUAGCCGGACUGAGAGGUUGAACGGCCACAUUGGGACUGAGACACGGCCCAGACUCCUACGGGAGGCAGCAGUGGGGGAUAUUGCACAAUGGGGGAAACCCUGAUGCAGCGACGCCGCGUGGAGGAAGAAGGUUUUCGGAUUGUAAACUCCUGUCGUGAGGGACGAUAAUGACGGUACCUAACAAGAAAGCACCAGCUAACUACGUG